rnacentral:rRNA from 1 species
GAUGAACGCUGGCGGCGUGCUUAACACAUGCAAGUCGAACGGUGAAGGCGGAGCUUGCUCUGCUGGAUCAGUGGCGAACGGGCGAGUAACACGUGAGCAAUCUGCCCCUGACUCUGGGAUAAGCGCUGGAAACGGCGUCUAAUACUGGAUACGAGCUGCGAAGGCAUCUUCAGCAGCUGGAAAGAAUUUCGGUCAGGGAUGAGCUCGCGGCCUAUCAGCUUGUUGGUGAGGUAAUGGCUCACCAAGGCGUCGACGGGUAGCCGGCCUGAGAGGGUGACCGGCCACACUGGGACUGAGACACGGCCCAGACUCCUACGGGAGGCAGCAGUGGGGAAUAUUGCACAAUGGGCGAAAGCCUGAUGCAGCAACGCCGCGUGAGGGACGACGGCCUUCGGGUUGUAAACCUCUUUUAGCAGGGAAGAAGCGAAAGUGACGGUACCUGCAGAAAAAGCGCCGGCUAACUACGUG